CAGAACCAGAACAUAUCAAGCGGCAAUUCCGGCAGGCCAGGGUCGUCCCCAAUGCCGCUUACGUGGGGCGCCCAGGUGCUGAGGAACUGCAGAGGGGGGUGGAUCAUGAUUGCCAUUGUGUGUGUGUGUGUGUGUGUGUGUGUGUGUGUGGUUGGGAGUAUCUACGCCGUAUCUACGCCGUAUCUACGCCGUAGAUAGAAGCCCGAAGAUGUAUCCGCCGUGACCAAUGAGACCACGCGCAUCGGGGUUUGAAAGGGGGACCUAAGCUUGCCGAGGCAUGACGUCAGCGAGGGUACGAUGAAGAUCUUACUUAUUUUGUACCUGAGACUUCUGUUUUUGGAUCCAUUUGUUCGCUGUGGAAAUUCCCUUCCCUUAUACCCUUCAAGAUGUUUAACGAAUGAAUAGAGCCCAGCUAUGGCUCAACUGCUCAACUGUAGAAGGAGGACUUGUUUGCAACUCUCUCUGUGAUGAGAGAAUUUUGCCUAUUUUUGACGG
rnacentral:sRNA from 1 species